UUUUUUCAGCUUCCAAAAGUUAUGGGGAUCUCCUUCCAUCUAUGGCUUCUCCUUCGUCUGAUCAAGCCACAGGUGACACAGAAAUGCCAUAUACAUCUGUGAUACCAACUCCAGCUUUUGCUUCUAAGUCUCAGGUUCCUGAAAACACAGAAAGGGUUGAUUAUGCUUCCUUAAGAUUUUCUGCCUUAAAUGACCAAGCUGUCUAUGCUAAUGUGUGAAAAGAAGACAAUCAAGCCACUCCUGAGAACUUAUUACUGUGAACUAAAGAAGAAGAAUUUAGAACUUCUCCAUCAGAGACCUUCCUCCUAUUCUAGCUCCUCAAAUAGAAGACUACAACCCUUUGUCAUCACUCACAUUACUGCAGACAUGCAAUAAAAUAAAGCCCAUUCUUGUGACCUAA